GGGAGAAUGGUUUAGGGGUAUAACAUCUCAUUUGCAAUUCCAAUUGGAAAUCUUGAGAAGGUCCGGGGUUCGAUUCCCCGUUCUUCCA